rnacentral:misc_RNA from 1 species
GAUGAAGAACGUAGUGAAACGCGAUAAGUAAUGUGAAUUGCAGAAUCCAGUGAAUCAUCGAAUCUUUGAACGCACAUUGCGCCCGCCAGCAUUCUGGCGGGCAUGCCUGUUCGAGCGUCAUUUCAACCCUCGACCUCCCCUUGGGGAAGUCGGCGUUGGGGACCGGCAGCACACCGCCGGCCCUGAAAUGGAGUGGCGGCCCGUCCGCGGCGACCUCUGCGUAGUAAUCCAACUCGCACCGGAACCCCGACGCGGCCACGCCGUAAAACACCCAACUUCUGAACGUUGACCUCGAAUCAGGUAGGACUACCCGCUGAACUUAAGCAUAUCAAUAAGCGGAGGA